rnacentral:rRNA from 1 species
UACGUAGGGUGCGAGCGUUGUCCGGAAUUAUUGGGCGUAAAGGGCGCGUAGGCGGCUCUGCACGUUCGUUGUGAAAUCGCCCGGCUCAACUGGGCGGGGUCAGCGGAUACGGCAGAGCUUGAGCAAGCUAGGGGGCAAUGGAAUUCCCGGUGUAGUGGUGGAAUGCGUAGAUAUCAGGAGGAACACCGGUGGCGAAGGCGGGUCUCUGGGCCGUAACUGACGCUGAGGAGCGAAAGCGUGGGGAGCGAACAGG